rnacentral:rRNA from 1 species
AUUGAACGCUGGCGGCAGGCCUAACACAUGCAAGUCGAGCGGAUGAAGGGAGCUUGCUCCUGGAUUCAGCGGCGGACGGGGGAGUAAUGCCUAGGAAUCUGCCUGGUAGUGGGGGAUAACGUCCGGAAACGGGCGCUAAUACCGCAUACGUCCUGCGGGAGAAAGUGGGGGAUCUUCGGACCUCACGCUAUCAGAUGAGCCUAGGUCGGAUUAGCUAGUUGGUGGGGUAAAGGCCUACCAAGGCGACGAUCCGUAACUGGUCUGAGAGGAGGAUCAGUCACACUGGAACUGAGACACGGUCCAGACUCCUACGGGAGGCAGCAGUGGGGAAUAUUGGACAAUGGGCGAAAGCCUGAUCCAGCCAUGCCGCGUGUGUGAAGAAGGUCUUCGGAUUGUAAAGCACUUUAAGUUGGGAGGAAGGGCAGUAAGUUAAUACCUUGCUGUUUUGACGUUACCAACAGAAUAAGCACCGGCUAACUUCGUG